ACUAAAACUCUAGCCCUACCACCCCCUCAAGAAGCUAUAGCAUUUCUAAUUUUCUAAAUUAAAACAUUCUAGCAGUCUAGUAAAGGCGAACAAAAAACUGACAGGAGCUAUAUAUAAAGUACCGCAAGGGAAAGAUGAAAUAAAAUGAAAUAUCUUAAGUGCCAAAAAGUAGAGAUUAACCCCCGUACCUUUUGCAUCAUGGUUUAACUAGUCCAACCAAGCAAAAAGACUUUAAGUUUGACCCCCCGAAACUAAGUGAGCUACUUCAAGGCAGCUUAAUGAGCCAACCCGUCUCUGUCGCAAAAGAGUGGGAAGACCUUCAAGUAGCGGUGAUAAACCUAACGAACUUAGUGAUAGCUGGUUACUCGUGAAAAAGAUCUAGUCUAACCCAAAGUUAACUUUAUACAAAAAAUAAAAAUCUAACUUUGGAGUCAUUCAAAUAAGGUACAGCCUAUUUGAAACAGGACACAACCUCAACUAACGGGUAAACUAACGGCUACCAUGAUCAAGUAGGCUUAAGAGCAGCCAUCUUUAAAAUAGCGUCUAAGCUUAAUUAUUUAGCCAUUUAAUUUCCUUAAUCUUCAUCAACCCUUUAUCCGUACCGAGUAACUCUAUACAUUUAUAGAAUUUUUUAUGUUAGAACUAGUAACAAGAAGAAGCCCUUCUCUAAAAUGCAAGUGUAGAUCAUAGAGGACCCACCACUGAUAAUUAACAUAUCUGAACCAACAGUAGUAACUCGACAAGAAAAUCCCACUAAUAUUUAUGUUAACCUAACACAAGAGCAUUCCAAGAAAGAUUUUAAGAAAAAGAAGGAACUCGGCAAACAUUAACCUCGCCUGUUUACCAAAAACAUCGCCUCUUGUAAAAACAUAAGAGGUCCAGCCUGCCCAGUGACUCUGUUCAACGGCCGCGGUAUCCUAACCGUGCGAAGGUAGCGUAAUCACUUGUUCUUUAAAUGAGGACUAGUAUGAACGGCACCACGAAGGUUACACUGUCUCCUUUUUCUAAUCAGUGAAACUAAUCUCCCCGUGAAGAAGCGGGGAUUAGCCUAUAAGACGAGAAGACCCUAUGGAGCUUUAAACAGAAUAACAACUGCUAACCCACAUUUAUUUUUCGAAAACUAAACUUUCAUCUUAGCAUCCUGAUUAUCAGUUUUAGGUUGGGGUGACCGCGGAGUAAAAAUUAACCUCCACAUUGAUACGGGAUCGUACCCUAAGCAAAGAGCCACAACUUCAUGCAUCAUUAAACUGACAUUAAUUGACCCAAUAUUUUUGAUCAACGAACCAAGUUACCCUAGGGAUAACAGCGCAAUCCUCUUCAAGAGCUCCUAUCGACAAGGGGGUUUACGACCUCGAUGUUGGAUCAGGGUAUCCUAGUGGUGCAGCCGCUACUAAAGGUUCGUUUGUUCAACGAUUAAAACCCU
rnacentral:rRNA from 1 species